CAAGGAGACUGUUGCCAUGGUGACUCAGAGUUGAGGCCAAUGGCGGCUCCACCAUCCUGUGGCUAUGAUUCCUGAACUUGUGGUCUCCUCAGUUGAUGAGGUGAAGAAAGAAAGCCUGGAGAAUUAUGCACGAGCUUCUCACUGUCUCAGCCCACAAGUAACACACCUCUUUCCCUCACAGCCCACACUGGCUGGAACCAAUCACAUAGCCCUGCCUAACUGCAAGGGAGGCCAGAAAGUGCAACACUUUCUCAUGGUCACGGGUGAGCACGAAACAUCUCUCCAAAUAUGGGUUGGGAAGAUUAAGAGACUAGUCCAGAAGAAAACAGUCUCCAGGGAGAAAUAUAUCUGGGAAUAGGAAUCGAGAAAGCAACCAAGAGAGCAGAACUGAGUGGAUGAGAGGAACUGUCAGACCACAUCUGCAGCUCUGAUUAGUCAAAUCCGAAAUGUGCCUGUUGAUCUACUAUUCCGUGGAAAUACUGGAAUCACCAGCUCAAUAAUAAGAGGAAAGUAAAUAAUACCAUACUUGCGUGGAUAAUUCCCCUCUGCUCAUACCUUCAUUCAGGUCAACAUAGAUCUAUCAUACUCCUACAGUGUAUAAGGGACGUGCUAAGCUUGAAGUACAUUCAUUCUAAAAAUCAAAAUACAAAGGCAUGGGAAGACUAAGAAAAUUUCAUAAACCUUCAUUAAAUUAUCAGAAAUACCUGGGAUUCUCAGCUCCAUUUAUAAAGAAACCAGAGUUACAGUUCUUCCAUUACUGAUUGCUUUCUGGAUUGAAUAUUUGAACUCUGCUUUAGUGAUUCCUCUUGCUUAUAUGUGGGAGGAAGACCCCCUACCCUGAGCCAGCAGCUGGAGCACAGCCUGAACACACAGGCGCUGGAUCCAGGGCAAAAAUGAAGACAUAAGGGACCUUAGGUGACAAGGAAGAAGCUCCCAGGCAGCAUGUGGGAUGGACCCAAGGAGAACGUCAGAGAGAAAGAGUUCAGUCUGGUGUCUCCUGAAGCAGGUUAAAAUUAAGCUCGGCAGGCUCGACGUAAAUGUGCAGACAAAGCAAAGCAGGAAGCCUCCCACACUAAAAAGGGAAGAUAAGAAUCACAGAAGCUGGGAUGGUUUUUAUUGAAGGGCAUUUCAAAGCAAAUACAGACAUCUACAGCAUAUUUGUAAAUCCUCCGUAUGUGUAUGGAAACACACACCUUCACACAUCAAAACUGGAUUUGUUCCUGAGUAACAAAACGUCCUAAGAACAAAAUGAAAGAAAACCAAAUAGCAGAAAAAUACUUCCAAUGUAUAUACCACAAAGGAUUAUUUAUCAACUCAACACACCAAGAGUUAAGAAAAUAAUGCAACAGGAACAAAGGGCAAAGGAUAUGUACUGGGAAGACCACAGAGAAAGAAAAUGCAAAUGGCUAAUAAUAUAAAAUAUUUCCUAGGUUCAAUAGUAAUCAGGGAAAGACAAAAUUACACUUUUGACCUCUUAGACUGGCAGUGACAAAGAUUAUUUGAGUGACCAAGCUUUAGUCAGGCUCCUGGAUCUUCUAGGCCCAUCUGGGCACUUCCUCGUAAAAUACAGUUUUAACAAAAGCCCUGCUAAAUUGGUUUACCGAGAACUCCCACCCUCAAUCGAGUUCCUUAGCCCUUCACCUUUCCUCAGGUGAGGGCUGAUCAUCCUGUCCUGUCUUCAGCAAGACUGCUCUAACGCUGACGUUUCCUUUUAGUAAUUUUCCAUCCACUGACACCCACUUGUAAUUUAUAGCCAAGGAGCAAGAUACACUGCUCCUUGGCUAUAAGUUAUUUUCCCUGUUACAUUCAGAGUUGAGCCCAAUCCCACUCCCCGACUACAAAAUCGAUAGCAGUGGUCCCUAUACCUAUUGCAAUGGUCCUAAAUAAAACCUGCCUUACCGUGCUUGAACAAGUG
rnacentral:lncRNA from 1 species